UUUGGCUCACGGACCAGACGACUUCCACUGGAGUUAACAGGUAACCAAUUCUGCUCAAUUUAUACAGACUUUACUUCUGAUUCAUCAACAUUUUCUCAAAAACAAUUACACGCGUUUGAGCAUGAUCAAAAUCCGAGGCACGGGAGCGGACAGAUCCAACCGAACGAGUUUAAAGCCAAAGUCUACGUAAGGGUCAGUGACCCUGAACGAAUGGACAGAGAUGUGAUCCAGACAGAAUAUGGAGGAAAAAGGGGACAUAUGAGAAAGGAAACUGCAGGACAGAACCAAGACACAAGGAGAGAUGACAUAUUUUGGCUGGCCUAGUAAGGCCUCGGGAUCCCCUUUAAGACUUGGAUCACAGAGAGACGAGUCCAGGUGUCUCUGCUUAAACUGUGACUUGAAUACAGGACGGAAGGGGUCACUCCAACAGGAAAAGAAAAAGAAGACUGUUGGUGCAGAGCUGCUGCUCCAUUGUGUCCAAAAGAUGCCAAUUGAAGUGUUUUGAGCAACUGAUCUAGAGGCCUUCUGCUCUCAACGUCUCGUAAGCUUAGAGGAGACUCGGGACAUGAUGAACACAUCUCUCAUCUGCAAUAAGAAUAUCGGAAGAUCCUAAAACCUGAAACUUGACUGUUUCUGGUGCCACCCAAACAAGACACAGGCUGGAUGAAACAAAUCACCUGGACCAAUCUAUCAGCUGAUUGUUCACAGGUAAUGCAGAUAUUUGGGAUCGUUAAUGAUGAGUGCAGAAACGCCCAAAUGCUUAUGGCAACUUGGCAUCAACAUUAUCGUCUUUCAAAGCACCUCGAGUACAAUCAAUCUCCUCUGAUCUCAGAAGUUAAGUAGGGUCGGGUCUGGUUAGUACUCGGAUGGGCCGCCCGGAAAUACCAACUGGUGUAAGCUUCAGAGGUGGCUGUGGCUCAGGAGGUAGAGCAGAUCGUCUAACUAAUGGGACUGUUGGUGGUUCAAUCCUGGCUGCUCCAGUCUCCAUGCCAAAGUAUCUUCGGGCAAGAUACUGAACCCCAAGUUGCUUCCGAUGCUUCCAUUGCUUCCAUUGCGAGUGUGAAUGUUCGAUAGAAAGCUCUUAGGCAUAGAGAGAACGGGUGUGUAUGAAAGGGUUAAUGAGGCUUGUAGUAUAAAGCACUUUGGGUGUUCAAGCAGAGUAGAAAAACACUAUGUAAGAACCAGUCCAUUUACCAUACAUUAUGCUGGGCUAUAAGAUGAAUGUCUGUUUCUUUAUGUCAGUUACUUCCUUGUAUUUUAAAAUAUCAAUAUGAACAAAACUUAAGAAACACUCACACCACACUUUAAUAGAAGUUAUUGAGCAGCGACUCAAACUAACAAGAUGGCAGUCCAGGUGUGGGGAAAGCUAAUAAUGACUGUCUGAUUGAACAAACAAAAGCACUCCUGCAUUUAGCAUUAGCCCAGAAUAAAUUUAAAUUAAAAACUUCAAUUUCUCCUUUUUGGAUUGAAUUUUUGACAUCAUGCACAAAGGAAAUGUAAUUUUUUAUUAAAGAUGAUGAAG